rnacentral:rRNA from 1 species
GACAGAGGUGCCAAGCGUUAGGCGGAAUCACUGGGCUUAAAGCGUGUGUAGGCGGAUCGUUAAGUACCUUGUGAAAUCCCACGGCUCAACCGGGGACCUGCAUCUCAUACUGUUCAGCUCGAGCACAUCAGAGGAGACUGGAAUUCCCGGUGUAGCGGUGAAAUGCGUAGAUAUCGAGAGGAACACCUGCGGCGAAGGCGGGUAGCUGGGCCGACACUGACGCUGAUGCGCGAAAGCCAGGGGAGCGAACGGG